rnacentral:lncRNA from 1 species
GAAGGCAUGUGAAGCCGAGUAAACUUGGAACAAACUUUGGUCUCCUGUUGCAACGAAAUAUAGACAACUUCCGGAGGGAUGGGAGGCUGUGAAUCAAAGCGGAUGUUAGCAUAUCACAAUUUGAUAUUGCCAACUCCUGAAGAGAGGUAUAAUAAUCUAACCCACUCGGUAGACUUGACAACUCCUGACAGCCUGUAAUCUUUAAUUCACAGAGGGAUGAGAGGGGCUGUGUAACUGGAAUCAACUCUAGACUACCGCAAUCUUCCACAAUCAGGUUCUUAAGAGAUGUUGUGAGUAGCCCAUCAGGAAAAUAAGCAAGAAUAGGACACUUGGAAAUACGCACUGACUCAAGAAGUGCGCAAGAGCCAACUACAUCAAGAGCAAUACAAGUUAGCUCCUGACAAUCUUUUAUCUCCAAGUAUGCAAGAUUCUUGUUGUUUUUAAGCAUCCCUUCUGGCAGAGAAACAAGUCCGCUUAUGUUCCUUAUUGCGAGCGAAGUAAGAGUGGUCAGCUUAUUGCUUAUGUUUGCUAUUGGCAUGCCGCUACCCAUGGAAUCUAUCUCCAACGUCUUGAGAGAUGGGAAAUGGCUAGGAGCACUUCUCAAUUUAUCACAAUUCCUCAAAACCAGCUCCUCGAGACAAGGAAAGACCACGAUCCCACUUUCUGGCCAUUCAGUUAGGUUCCUAGCAUUGUAAAUCUUUAACCUUUUCAAUACAGGAAACGAACUACUCAUGAUCCAUGAUGGACAUUUAUCACCCAUGAAGUUGAAAAAUUGUAAAAAUUCCAGUUUACUAGGGUGUGGUUGAAGGCCUUCUAGUACCUCUUCAUCAUUGGUGAUGCUUGACCUAUCCUCUGCCCACUGAAACUUUAACUUGCUUAUGUUUGUCUUCUUCACUAAUUUUGCUUUCUUGGCUUCUUCUCCAUCUCUCACGUGCUCUAGAUUAUAGAUAGUUAAUCUGCCUUUUAACAAGUUUAAGCCAGCCAGCUCCUCUAUUCCACGACCUGUCUCCUUACCCACGAUGAAAUAUUUUAAUGUUCGGAGAUUAGUCAAUCGCCCUAUCCUUGCUGGAAAUUUCAUACCAUACGGAUAAAAAUAAAUAUGUCUCAAGUUUAUCAAAUUUUGCAGUUCUUUUGGAAACUCUUCAAGCUCGACCUCUUUCAUUCUUAAUGUUUGUAGAUUAUAAAGCUUUCCAAUGGAUUUGGGGAGUGCUUUGAUCUUUGUAUAGGAAACAUCCAGAUACCUCAAGUGUUUCAACUUUCCAAUUGCAAUUGGCAACUCCUUCAUAUAAGUUUGAUAUAAAUUUAAGACACGCAAACCUCUAAAGUUUGGUAAGAUAUCACCAAGAACUUCAACAUUCAAGAAAAGUGAGCGCAAUUUAUGAGCACCUCUUUCUGGAACUCCAUGUAGCACUGAGGUAGGAAUAUGUGCCAUAUGUCGAGUCUCAUUGGAGUCAUUACUCUUCGUUUUUGACACAAGUUCUGCGAGAUCAUGCACAAGGUCGUGCAUUUUGCAACUUGUAAUAUUACCAUACCAAUCCUUUUCAACGUCUUGAAAGAAAGAGUUGUUCAAUAGAAUAUUAAAAUAUUCAUUUCCUAUAUCCUCCAUCUCUAGAUUACGUCUGUUGGGAGGAGAAGGGUAAAGCAAUCCUUGAGCCAUCCAAAGUUGGAUCAAGUCAUCCUUUUCAAUUUCGAAAUCUUUGACAAACAUUGAGCAAUAUGCAAAACAUUGUUUCAAAUAUGGUGAUUUCAAUUUAUCAAAACUCAACUUCAAAACCGACAAGAUUCUUUCUUCUCCUUCUGGUAAAUCCCAUAUUCUACUUUCUAGAAUUGACCGACAUCCAUCAAUAUCUUGAGAACGCAUCAUAUUUCCCAAAACCUAGUGUACAUGAGUUUGAAUUUGUAUUAAAUGAUAAUAAUGAGGUAAAUUAACAAUAAUAACAUUAUAAAACGGAUCCUUAAAAUAGUCAUCAUGCACCCCUCACUUAAAAUAUUCUCAGCAUAUGCAAUCAGUAAUCCUAUUAGGUCAGUUUAGUACUUAAUUAAUAUAAAGCUACCAUAAAAUUUCAAUAUAUUUGUUCCAUAUACAAAAGAAAAAAAAUGAUAUAGAUCUAAUACUAAUGCAUGCAUAAAUCAUGAAAUUUCACUUAGAACCCCUGAAUUUUAGCAUAAUUACAGCUAGAGCCACAUGUUUCAUUUAUUGCAAUCACACCCCCUAAAUCUAAUUAGAUUAAAGAAAAAACCCCCAACAAAAUCAGGCACUACCCCCAACCAAACCCUUCAGCCACAACCCCAUCCAAGCCCAUCCUCAAUCCAUCCCCAACUAACCUCCCCGACCAAAAAUCCCACCCAACCACCCCGGCGCACCACCAAGCUCUUGUGGGUUAGAGGUUUAUAAAUGAAGAACAGAAAAGAACAAGAAGAAAAAAGUACUUCAACACAUACCUUUGCCACUAAUGGUACACCUGCACACUUUUUGGCAAUCUCCCUUCCGAUUCUCUCUUGAUCUUCAGUCAAAACAACACUCGCAUCUAGAAACGCUUUAUACUUCAAUAUGCACCAGCAUUGAUCCUCCGAUAAUUUUCCCAGAACACAUGUAGGAAGUGUUUGUACAAUUGAUGAAACACUCACAUUGCGAGUAGUGACAAGGAUUUUGCUUGCUUUAGUGCUUGUAGCAUUCAACAAGCAACUCAUCAAAUCGUCCCAUUUGCUACGAUCGUCGUUCCAAACAUCGUCAAGCACGAGAAGAUAUGUCUUCCCUUUCAAAUCUUCUUGCAGGUUUUCACAUAUUGUUGCUUUACCCUUUAUCCCAGCUUUCUCUGGUUUAAGACAUUCCAAGAUCUCGCUUAAAAUCUUUUUGACUUCAAAAGGAGUAGAUACACAUACCCAUAUUUUUUGAUCGAAGUGUCUACCUAUCUCAGGAUCAUUAUAUACAGAUUUAGCCAAAGUUGUCUUGCCCAAGCCUCCCAUCGCCACAAUGGCCAUAACAGAAAGACAAUUGUCUUGGUUCUUGCCAGAGUUGAUCAGGGUUGUAACUAUGUCCGACGCAACCUCCUUCCUUCCAACAAUGUACUUUUCAUCUUGAUCAAAGUUUGAGACGGUUUCCCUGUCAAGUCCUCCAAUAUCAUGAGAUGUUGCAUUGACCAGUGUUGACCUAUCAACCAGUCCAAUACUAGCUGCCUCAUUCUUCAGGUUUGCCAAAGAUGCAUUGAUGUUUUUAAUUUUAUGUGCCAUUUUGCGACGAAAUGCAAUGGGAUUGUGGCGUGAAAAGAAGUUGAGCACCUUGUUCUUGAUCUGAUUUUGGAUCUCCACUUUCCGCCGGAGAAGUUCAUAUUCAUAUUCAUCCAACACAUCAUCUGCUUCAUGAGCUAUGCCUUCCAGAUCCUUCACCCACAUCUCCACCCUCUCACCCCGAACUUGUAAAUGUUGUGCAUCUCUGAGCAUAGCUUCCAACUUGAAUAAUGAGUCUCGUAGAGUUGUUAGCUCUCCUUUGAAUCCCCAGAGAAGACUGAGUUCUUGCUCUGCAAGUGAAGCCACCCUCGUCAGAAUUCCCUCAGCACCAAAAGUAAGAAACUCUGCAGCCAUAUUUUCUUUCAGUGUUGCUCAAGACAGAGAGCAGAAUGCUUAGUUUGGGUUAGAAAAGUAGAGCAAAAUUGAGGACGCAAUGUAUCUUUGAGAAGGUUGUGAGGGAUUUGUAGACAAGAAGGUGCGCAUAUGGCUGGCGUAAAAAGAUAUAAUAAUUGAAGAGAGCAUCAAGUGCUGUCGGUUGGAUUAUCGGGGUUGUUUGGAAUACUUUUGAAAAAAUAAUAAUGAGAAUCGGCACCAAGUCAUUCUUUAUCCCGCUCCAGUCCAAAACCAAAAAGUCACAAGAAAUUAAAAAAUUUAUAAUGGCGACGUGGUGGGGACCUCGGAUUUGAUGAGACAUUAGGCUACUGUUAAUUACUUUUCUUGUGUCCGUAGACGCUUUUUGAUUAAUCGAUGACAUUGUCGUUGUUGAGAAAUAAUCAAAGAAAGUUGUUAAUAGCUCAUCAAAUUUGCACGUCAUUAGGUUCCAUGAGGAGCGCUUGCCCUUAAACGAUUAUUAAAAGAUGCUAAGUGCUUAAUAAUCUUUUUGAAGCAGUCAAAGUUGGACAAACAUUAUUUUAACUCUAUGUUCAAGAGGGCCUGGGACAAUUAUUUUGAAUUUUGAUUCUUGAAUAAAAUUUUAAUGCAAAGUCCUUUAUAAUGAAUACACGUCAACGUAGGAAAUAAAGCAAUGUUAUGUUACAAAUUGAAACGAAACAAAAUUAUAAGACAGUGUUUUAGUUAUAAAUACAGUGGCAUAUAGUAAGUAUUACGCUACAAAACUAUAAGUUAUAAGUAGAGAAUCCGAAUUUUUUCCAACUGAAUUAUUUGUUAACACGAAAAUCGAACUUGGAAUCUUUAUCCUUUACCUCAAUUGGGUCUAAUUUAAUGCUUAUUCAAUGGUGAAAACACUUCUUGCUACUAUAAUAAUACUACUACAUUUGAGCCAAGACUCAAGUCUUAGGCUAUCUUCAGUCAUAGGGCUAAAUAUCGUCUAGGGCUAAAUAUUUAGCCUCCAAAAUAUUAAUUUUUUAAAGAUAGUAUAGGGCUAAAUUUUUUCAUCUCCAGCCAUGCAAGGCAAUAUUUUAGGGUCCUUUAUAUUUUAUUAUUUUGAGAAAAACUAUGGUACAACACUCAUGCAUUCCACAACUAUGUAUUGUUUAAUUUAAUUAAACUACUAUUUAGAGACAAUAUUCCAUGACCAAUAAUUUUUUUUAAUUUUUUUUAAACAACACUUGAAAACAUUUAAAAAGGUGACCACAUUUAUUUAUUAUUAUUUUUUAAAAGGAUGAGUUUCAAUGGUCUGACCUCCAACGAUCAUGACUAGUAAUUUUUUAUAAUUUUUUUACAAAUUGAAAAUAUUUGAAAAGGUGAUCACAUUUUUUUUUAAAAAAAAGUUGGGUUUCAAUAGUCUGACUUCCAAUGGUCAUGACCAAUAAUUUUUUUAAAUAAAUGUUUCUUAAACAACACGAAUUGAAAACAUUUAAAAAGGCUUUUAAAAAUAUAUCGAUGAAGUCAUCACUUUUAUUGUUGGCUGUUGGAUAUGAAUUUGCACGAGAUAAUUCGUGUUGUUGCCCACACUUAAUAAUUUAUCUUCUUCAAAAGCACACACCUGAACCCUAAAGCUGGGCCAAAUAUGGCCCAGUUGGAGGGCAAAAUGGCUAAAUUUGGCCAAAAUUUUAUUUAGCCCAUGACUGGAGAUGAGUUUCGCAUUAUUUUAGAGCUAUAUUUGGGAUAUAUAGGGCUAAAUGUAAUCCAGGACUAAAUAUUUAGCCCUCUAAAAUAUUAAUUUUUUAAAAAUAAUGUAGGGUUAAAUUGAGAUACUUAAAUACAAAUCGAAUCUAAAUUCAAAAACUAAUAAAACAAUUAAUCCCAAUAAUAAUUUAGGAGAGCGCCAAGUGCUGUCGGUUGGGCUACUAAUCCCACGAUGAUUGUGUGGAAUUAUUGCAUGUAAUAAUUGUGUGUGGAAUACUUUUGAAAAAAAAAUUAAAAUUGUGCAUGGAAUAAUUGUGGAUAGAUAUCCUUGUGCUUAGAUUCUGGAUGAGGUUGUGGACGGGCUUAAAAUGAAAGGAUGGUAUAGUUGUUUUGUCCAUUUGUGAUUAACAAAUUUUCUUUGUAUAUUGUCACCCAAAUACAUAAACUAAAUGCAAGGGACUUGUAUUAUAACUGGUUAAAAAUAUUUAUUCAUAAAUUGAAGGUAUUAAGUUUAAUUACACUUUUUUUUAGAAUUGCUUUUUAUUAAAAAAAAAAAUACAUGAACUAAAUGAACCGUUUAUCACGAGAAUCUUAAUUAUUAUCAAAUUCCAGAUUUUUACAGGAAACUUACAUUGUGAAUUUACUUUAACCACCAGGACCUGCAACUAAAUAUAAUCCCAUCCCAAUUCCAAACAAUCAAUUUCACAUCUGUAAAAUUUUCUCGUUAUGGCCCUCAAUUUCACUAAUUAUGCGUAUUAUCUCAAAAUUUACAACGAACAAAUAAAUUCCACCGGGGGUGUCCGAAUGACUAAGCAGUACAGGAACAGAAAUAGAAAAGCUUAUAUGUGAUUGCCAUUUCAAGUUGCAACUGUUGUUACUCUGCCUUCCUCUCAAUCUCUUCCAGUGCUUCCCACAAUUUUGUCUCCUCAAAGUCUCUUCAAUAACGAAGGCCACUACUGGCAUUCCAGCUGCUACUCCAGCUUUCACCCCUGAAACAGAAUCCUUAACAACCAAAAACAGAACACAGAUGAGUGCAAGGCAUAUCAAAAACUUACUGGAGAAUGCUGUUGUUAGUAUUGCAAAGCACACAGUUCUGAGAGCCGAACCUCAAAUGCGAAAGGGUCAGGAAAUGGUUUCGCUCCAUCACAUUCAUCUCCAACAACAACAAAUUCAAAGAAAUUCAAGAGCUCCACCAUUUGGCCUUGGAGCAUUUGUCCCUGCAGUCUGUAUCAAGCCUUGAUUUUCAAUCCAUUGGUGCAACUUGUGGAGGUCCUUAACAGGUUCUACUUGUUCAGAUGCCAAUCUGAUCUCAUUGGAUGAGAGAAAAUGAAACAGAUGAAGCAUUUUUUUCUUUCAGAAAACUAUUGGAACACUCUGAGUAUAUAAUUGAAAAGCAUUUUUUUUCUUUCCAAAAACUGACAAGAAAAGACGACCCCCUGUUAUUAAUACCACAUUAUGUCCAAAUCAAUAGGGUGUGUGAUUAAUCUAAAACGUCACAAAUUUUGUCUAGCUUAAAACAAAAUAAAAAAGCUUCUGAUUUUGUUGCAUAGCAGUUUACUUGAGUUGCACAUUCUAAAACAAGAAAUUCUUAGCAAUCUGAUGUGUAACAUAAAUACGAAAUACAUAAAAAAUUAAAAAUAAGAAUAAAAAGAGUUGAUUUUUUCACUUCUCUUUUGUUCACUUGGAUGCUGAUUCUUGGAUUACACUUAUAAAAACCAAAAGGUAAGUGGACAAAAACAGAGUGCGAAAAUCAGCAGCCAAAAAAAGGGAAAGAGAGUGGAGCAAUAAGAUAGGAUGCUGGUUCUUGGGUUGUUGGGCUUGGUGCUUUAAAUGUUAGGAAGCUCACAUUUGUAUCCAAAAUCCAUCUUUGGACACCCAUGUUAAAUUUUAAAUAAAUUUUUAGUUUUCUUUGGACACAGAAUUUGACAAAUUAAAAUACAAUAUAUAAUGAAUGUUUUCAUUACUAAUAUAAAAAUUUCCACUUGUUAGGGUUUGUAGGUUCCUUAAAAAUUAGUGUUGGUCAUAGUGGACCGGUGAUCUGUCUCUUUGAUCGGGCCUGAAUUUCACAUACGUAAAAGAUGUUCUAUAAUAGCAAGCCCAAAGAGGAAACAAAUUUGUGUACUCUUUUUCCUUAAGAUUUAAAAAUACAGAGUGGAAUGUAUACCUGUAGAAAUUGGAGAGCUUUUGAAUACCUUCACAACACAAGAGAAACCAACAACCUUACUUUUUCCAGAAAGAAUCAAUCCUAUAAAGCUGUUAGAAAGCUAAUAUAAUAUCUGAGCAUCAUCUUCAAAACAGAAAACCAUCUGGUGGAAAGUACCUGGACUCUGUUUGCUCCCAUUACAAAAAAUGUUCCUUCAGGUAACAAAUAAAAAACCCACCUCCAAAUUAUGCCAAAAUAACAAUAGACCCUACCUGCAGAAGCAACAUCAUAGACAGAGAGUAAACUCAUGAGAAAAAAGAACAACAGAGGCUAGGGAGUUGCUUGUAUCAAAUACUAAUUAUAAAUACGACAUAAUAAUAUGAAUUCCACACCUGUAGGCUGUAGGCUGUAGGCUGUAGGGAAGGGAGACCUUUUCUUCAAUCAACUCUCCACACCAGCACUUGUCUCAAGGAAAAAAGCAACUGACUUGAGUUGAAUGCCAGAGGAAAAGAAAAUGUGAUAUAUGGGAGAAAAGAGUUUUAUUCUUUUUAGAGAAUGAAAAAAGAAUGAUACCUUUAGAAGCAGAGUCACUCAGUGACUUGAGUUGAGGAUCAUUUUCUCAACAACAAUUCACACCACUUUCAACUAUUUCGCAUUUCAGGAUGAUACUUUCUCAGACUAUUGAAUCUGGUAGCUACAACCGUACGUGGUCAACUAGAGAUUUAAACAUAAAUAUUAGAAAUCAUUAUUUCGUAAAGGGGAAAGAAUUAGAAAGUAAUUAAGUUCAAUGAAAUGUAGGUGAAGAAAAUAGAAUGCAUAGUUGAUUUAAGAGCCAAAAAUAAUAAAAGCAAAAAGAAAAACAUACCAUAUAUUCUUGGAAUACGAGAAAUCUUAGGCCAUUCUGAGCCGCUCUUCUUGUUGCAUCUCUCUUUUAGAAGGGGACAAUGCAAAAUCCAUAUGCGUUCUAAUUUGGUGAGGCAUUGCAUAGCUUCGAGUGUAGGUAGAUACAUCAUAUUCUUGCAAUAAUAUAUAUCCAAGUACUUAAGAGAUGUAAGGUUUCUCAACCACUCUGGAAGAGCCUCCAUUCCGUCAAAGGAUUCCACUUUGAAAAAUGUUAGAGAAGUGAAGUGUUGAAUUUGUUCAGGCAGAGACUUGAGUUUAGGCCAACCCCAUAACUUUAAUGUUUUAAGUUGUGAUGUAACCUGAAAAGCAGGGAAUGAAUCGAGCUCCUUCCAAAAGCCACCGAUUUCCAAUGUCUUCAAGUGGUUGAGGCAGGAUGUUAUUGCUAAUCCACUGGGUAGACUUUUCAAUCCAUCGCAAGAAAAUAUCCCCAAUUCCUGGAGGUUUGUGAGGUUGUCUAAACUUGUAAUAGAUUCUACAUUCGGCAACUUGCUUAUUCUCAACACCUCAAGACAAGAACAUGAUUCUAGCCUUAUUGGCAGACUUGUCAAUCCAUGGGAAUCUUCGAUUCUCAAUUCACGAAGGCAUGUAAAGCCGAGUAAACUUGGAACAGACUCUGGACUCAUGCUGCAACCAAAUAUUGACAACUUCCGGAGGGAUGGGAGGCUGUGAAUCAAAGCGGAUGUUAGCAUAUCACAAUUUGAUAUUGCCAACUCCUGAAGAGAGGUAUAAUAAUCUAACCCACUCGGUAGACUUGACAACUCCUGACAGCCUGUAAUCUCUAAUUUGCAGAGGGAUGGGAGGGCCUGUGUAACUGGAAGCAACUGUAGACCAUUGCAAUCUUGUACAACCAGUUUCUUAAGAGAUGUUGUG